GAAAAAGAUGCCCAAGCCACCUCAGCUGACCCCUCUCGAUGUGGAGGAGCAGCGGCUCUACUCUGAGCUCCUCCCGGGUGACCGAGCUUCUCACCCUAUCUCUAAGGGAUCGCCCGGCCACCCUGCGGAGAAAGCUCAUUUCGGCCGCCUGUAUCCGGGAUGCCUGCCUCAAGUGGAGGAGUUUAAUUGCGAGCUCUCGUUUCAGAAUUCACCAAUAGAGUCGGAGAAUGGAGGGACCUGCACCCGCUGGACCAGAACCUGCCCCAGGCGGAGUGGGUGUUGCUGAAGGUCAUCAAGCGAAAGUGGUCGGAGCCAAGGAGGACGGGUCCUCAUCAGGUGGUGGAGAGAACGAGUCAUGCGGUCCGCCUGAGGGACAAAGGAGAGACGUGGUACCAUUGGAGCCAGUGUACACCAGCGCAGGAGCCAGGGAGGUCGCUAACGGACCUCAACCAAACCGGGAAGGAGGAGCUUUCCCCAGUGUGGACGGAAGGAGGACCAGCACCAGUCGAACCGGUGCCAGGAGCGGACCCCAGGACAUGGCGGGACCACGAGCGAGUGAAGGAGACAAAGGACGGCGUCAGGGGAAUAGACUCUUAGGGGAAAGAACUGAAGAAUACUGUAACAAAAGGGGGUAUAGGACACCGAGUGGCUACCACUCGUACCAAGAUGACAGGGUUACAGAGAAAGGUCUGGGGAGAUGAUAAUAGAAUGAAAUGGCAUAUGGGAAUUGGUGGAAUAAUGUGUUGUGUGUUGUUACAGGUUUCCCAGGUUGGCAUCGGGUCUUCAUUCCCCCAGCAAAGAGGUUCGCGACCCCACCUGAGGACACCUGUUUGAGGAAAUUUGGGGGAUUGAAUUGGACUAGGUCAAGGGGUCACGCACGAGCAUUCUGGGAUAGAUAAUCCGCUGGAGGAAUGGCUGACCUCGAUGUUCUGCCAGUGGAAAGGUUUGAUAAUGUCUGUUCUUUUAUCGCUUGCUACAUUUUGUGCUAUAAUGGUUACUUGUGGGUGUUGUUGUAUCCCAUGCAUAAGAGGGCUUGCCAUGAGAGUGAUCUCUACAGCCAUUGAGAAGGCUCCAGGACCGCCACCAGGGAUGCUGAUGCCUCUACUGGAGCAGCAUGACCUGGGAGAACUGGAGCUUGGCGAAUAGGGGAGAGAUCAAAAGGGGGAAUUGUAGAUGUAUUGAUUGUAUAAGUUAGUGAACUGUUGUAAGCUGUUGUAACCAAUGUAGAUGUAUUGAUUGUAUACGUUAGUGAACUGUUGUAAGCUGUUGUAACCAAUGAAACAAAAUAUUAAUUGUUUGUAAUAUGAGCUGAAACUGAAGGAGCAAGUAGGAGAAUAGGAAACCCUGUUCAAGCGGUUGCCGGGGAGAGAACGAUUGAGCAUGUCUGUCUUGUGGGAAACAGGUCACAGGUCAGAGACACACACACAUAGUCGGACAGACAACACAGAAACCACAAGGGGGGCAAGGGGAUACUUGCAGUUAUCCUAUAAGGAAUAGAACUGGGAUUGGGCCAAUGGCACACUUGCUUUGUAAGUUAACGCCUCUAUCUUUUUGGGCGUAGUAGAAGUAUAAAAGUGAUGUUUUGACUGUUGAUCCUUAGACAUUGUGCGGUGACACUUGUGUCCAAAAGCUUUUGUAAUAAACGGAAUAUGCGGUACGGU
ensembl:lncRNA